rnacentral:misc_RNA from 1 species
AUGACAGUAAAAGGUAUAAGGAUAGAAAAGUGGAGCAUGAGAGAGGUGGUCGACGUCCAGAGACCAGGCAGAAUAGACGCCAAAAGGCCUCUGCUCUGUACAAAAAGAAGCUUUUAGAACAGACAAAGAGGCCUUUGCGCCCCCUGUUGCCAAUUUUGCCUAAUGGAGCAAUUUCUUCGUUCUCUACUGCUGAUGGGAAGAGUUUGAUGCCUGAGGCUGCCCCAAGCUAUCUGUCUUCUCCAGCGGAAGAUGGCUUCAUAAAUGGAUUCACCCCACAGCAAAUAGGCCAGUUGCAUUGUUUGAUACAUGAACAUGUGCAGCUUCUUAUUCAAGUGUUUUCCCUUAGCAUUCUUGAUCCUUCCCGGCAACAGAUUGCCUCCCAGGUUCAGGGAUUAAUUUUUGAGAUGCUUCAUAAACGUGAUGAAGUAAUAGCCUGCGGAAGUGUGCCAUAUCCUUGUAUUUGCUUUCGCCCUCCCUAUAUGUGCCCGUCAGUGACAGAUGAACCCUCCAACGAUAACCCAGCGCAAUGCACUGAAUCCUCUUCUACUCCAAACGAACAGAUGUUAGUUUCUCAAAACAUUUCCAUGGCCAAGGGAAGAAAUAAUCCUGUUUUCAAUGGUCAGAAUAGUUCCCCACAAACUGCUGGCUUGUUCUGGGCACCAUUCAUGGGUGAUCCAAUAAUAUCCAUUCUAGAUGUAGC